rnacentral:rRNA from 1 species
CCUACGGGAGACAGCAGUGGGGAAUAUUGCACAAUGGGGGAAACCCUGAUGCAGCAACGCCGCGUGAAGGAAGACGGUUUUCGGAUUGUAAACUUCUGUUCUUAGUGAAGAAUAAUGACGGUAGCUAAGGAGCAAGCCACGGCUAACUACGUGCCAGCAGCCGCGGUAAUACGUAGGUGGCAAGCGUUGUCCGGAAUUACUGGGUGUAAAGGGAGCGCAGGCGGGAAGCCAUGUCAGCUGUGAAAACUACGGGCUUAACUUGUAGACUGCAGUUGAAACUGGUUUUCUUGAGUGAAGUAGAGGUUGGCGGAAUUCCGAGUGUAGCGGUGAAAUGCGUAGAUAUUCGGAGGAACACCGGUGGCGAAGGCGGCCAACUGGGCUUUAACUGACGCUGAGGCUCGAAAGUGUGGGGAGCGAACAGGAUUAGAUACCCCAGUAGUC